AGGAGAUACAAUGAUGGAAGCAGAAGUUGGAGUGGUGUGAGAAAAAGCUGGAGGCCAGGAAAGCUCCAGAUUUCUCUUUUACUGAGGCACCCUUCCCAUCAAUUGCAAACUGUCAACCAAGUUUACACAAUAUUGCCUUCCUUCCAUCACUGAGUCCCAUUCAACUAAAUACAUCAUACAGAAACAUCAGAACUAGGAAGAAUCACCAUGGACAAAUAAUAUUAAGGCAGAGUUGGUUUGUGUUAUUUUGUUUUUGUUUGUUUGUUUGUUUGUGUUUUUUUGGCCCACCUUAAGGGUUAUUCCAAAUGAGCUAGAUUAAAAUGACUAGUGCUGAGACAUGUCUUUUCAAAAAUAACCUCUG
rnacentral:lncRNA from 1 species